CAUCGGUGACAGGUGGUGCAUGGUUGUCGUCAGCUCGUGUCGUGAGACGUUGGGUUAAGUCCCGCAACGAGCGCAACCCCCUAUUGUUAGUUGCCAUCAUUCAGUUGGGCACUCUAGCGAGACUGCCGGUAAUAAACCGGAGGAAGGUGGGGAUGACGUCAAAUCAUCAUGCCCCUUAUGACCUGGGCUACACACGUGCUACAAUGGUUGGUACAACGAGUUGCGAGUCGGUGACGGCGAGCUAAUCUCUUAAAGCCAAUCUCAGUUCGGAUUGUAGGCUGCAACUCGCCUACAUGAAGUCGGAAUCGCUAGUAAUCGCGGAUCAGCACGCCGCGGUGAAUACGUUCCCGGGCCUU
rnacentral:rRNA from 1 species